rnacentral:rRNA from 1 species
GACGAACGCUGGCGGCGUGCUUAACACAUGCAAGUCGAACGGAAAGGCCCUGCUUUUGUGGGGUGCUCGAGUGGCGAACGGGUGAGUAACACGUGAGUAACCUGCCCUUGACUUUGGGAUAACUUCAGGAAACUGGGGCUAAUACCGGAUAGGAGCUCCUGCUGCAUGGUGGGGGUUGGAAAGUUUCGGCGGUUGGGGAUGGACUCGCGGCUUAUCAGCUUGUUGGUGGGGUAGUGGCUUACCAAGGCUUUGACGGGUAGCCGGCCUGAGAGGGUGACCGGCCACAUUGGGACUGAGAUACGGCCCAGACUCCUACGGGAGGCAGCAGUGGGGAAUAUUGCACAAUGGGCGGAAGCCUGAUGCAGCAACGCCGCGUGCGGGAUGACUGCCUUCGGGUUGUAAACCGCUUUCGCCUGUGACGAAGCGUGAGUGACGGUAAUGUGUAAAGAAGCACCGGCUAACUACGUG